ensembl:lncRNA
GGACAGAGAGGCAGCAGGGGACAGAGGAACAGAGAGGCAGCAGGGGACAGAGGAACAGAGAGGCAGCAGGGGACAGAGGGACAGAGAGGCAGCAGGGGACAGAGAGGCAGCAGGGGACAGAGAGGCAGCAGGGGACAGAGAGGCAGCAGGGGACAGAGAGGCAGCAGGGGACAGAGGAACAGAGAGGCGCUGGUGGAUCUCCCUGCCCAGUGCCUCUAACCCACCCUGGGGCCGUUGGUGUCACCGGUGCUGCAGCCUAGUUCCUCCAACACCCUGCUCCAUCUCACCCAGGGCUACCCCCACAGACAGCAUCCCUGCCAGGGCUACAGGCACCACCAUGGACCCCUCCCUGCCCGAAAGGGGGCCAUUGUACUGCCAAAGACUCCCUCCAUUAGCUCUGACAAAAUGAAAACUCUAGUCAUUGGCGACUCCAUUACCUGCAGUAUUAGACUUAAAACAAAUCAUCCAGCGAUCAAAUCAAAUCA